UACGUAGGGGGCAAGCGUUGUCCGGAUUUAUUGGGCGUAAAGAGCGUGUAGGCGGCCAGGUAGGUCUGGUGUGAAAACUCGAGGCUCAACCUCGAGAGGUCAUCGGAAACCAUUUGGCUAGAGUCCGGGAGAGGGAUGCGGAAUUCCAGGUGUAGCGGUGAAAUGCGUAGAUAUCUGGAGGAACACCGGUGGCGAAGGCGGCAUCCUGGACCGGCACUGACGCUGAGGAGCGAAAGCCAGGGGAGCAAACGGG
rnacentral:rRNA from 1 species